AGCGGUUCUUAGGUGACGCACCCUGGAAUCAGGCUCCCUCCUCUCUGGUUCCAGGUGCAUCACCCAAGAACCGCA
rfam:Myotis brandtii contig243666, whole genome shotgun sequence.